rnacentral:rRNA from 1 species
UACGGAGGGGGCUAGCGUUAUUCGGAAUUACUGGGCGUAAAGCGCACGUAGGCGGACUUGUAAGUUGGGGGUGAAAUCCCGGGGCUCAACCCCGGAAUUGCCUUCAAGACUGCAAGUCUGGAGGUCAGGAGAGGCGAGGGGAAUUCCGGGUGUAGAGGUGAAAUUCGUAGAUAUUCGGAGGAACACCAGUGGCGAAGGCGGCUCGCUGGACUGAUACUGACGCUGAGGUGCGAAAGCGUGGGGAGCAAACAGG